rnacentral:rRNA from 1 species
UACGUAGGCACCAAGCGUUGUCCGGAUUUAUUGGGCGUAAAGAGCUCGUAGGCGGUUCGGUAAGUCGGGUGUGAAACUCUGGGCUCAACCCAGAGAGGCCACCCGAUACUGCCGUGACUGGAGUGCGGUAGGGGAGUGGGGAAUUCCUGGUGUAGCGGUGAAAUGCGCAGAUAUCAGGAGGAACACCAGUGGCGAAGGCGCCACUCUGGGCCGUAACUGACGCUGAGGAGCGAAAGCGUGGGUAGCAAACAGG